rnacentral:rRNA from 1 species
CAGCAGUCGCCACGGUAAAACAGAGGGUGCAAGCGUUAAUCGGAAUUACUGGGCGUAAAGCGCGCGUAGGUGGUUUGUUAAGUUGGAUGUGAAAGCCCCGGGCUCAACCUGGGAACUGCAUCCAAAACUGGCAAGCUAGAGUACGGUAGAGGGUGGUGGAAUUUCCUGUGUAGCGGUGAAAUGCGUAGAUAUAGGAAGGAACACCAGUGGCGAAGGCGACCACCUGGACUGAUACUGACACUGAGGUGCGAAAGCGUGGGGAGCAAACAGGAUUAGAUACCCCGGUAGUCCCUGUCUCUUAUAC